ensembl:lncRNA
UUGUAAUCUACAAUAAUACUGAUCACACAUGAACAUUCCAGAUGCUCUGAUGUCUUUCCAGACUCUGGGACCUUGAUUUCCAAAUGAAAUGCAAAAUGUACUUAUCUGAAGAGAGGACUUUGGAACACUGAGCAACGGUCCCGUUCAUUUUCUCCUUCGCCCAGUCAACUUUCCAUGAAUAUGCUUGGAUACAGCACUCUGCCAACAUGACCUUCUCUGGCUUACCCUCCUCGUGGACAAUGGCGCUUUAAUGCACAGGCUUAACUUAGCUGAAGCCCAGGAGCCCAGAUAAUCAAGGGGGCCUCUUAUUGGC